rnacentral:rRNA from 1 species
UUUUGGACAAUGGGCGAAAGCCUGAUCCAGCAAUGCCGCGUGCAGGAUGAAGGCCUUCGGGUUGUAAACUGCUUUUGUACGGAACGAAAAAGCUUGUUUUAAUACCAGGGGCUCAUGACGGUACCGUAAGAAUAAGCACCGGCAAAUUACGUGCCAGCAGCCGCGGUAAUACGUAGGGUGCAAGCGUUAAUGGGAAUUACUGGGCGUAAAGCGUGCGCGGGCGGUUAUGUAAGACAGAGGUGAAAUCCCCGGGCUCAACCUGGGAACUGCAUUUGUGACUGCAAGGCUAGAGUACGGUAGAGGGGGAUGGAAUUCCGCGUGUAGCAGUGAAAUGGGUAGAUUUGCGGAGGAACACCGAUGGGGAAGGCAAUCCCCUGGACCUGUACUGACGCUCAUGCAGGAAAGCGUGGGGAGCAAACAGGAUUAGAUACCCUGGUAGUCCACGCCCUAAACGAUGUC